GAUCCUGGCUCAGGAUGAACGCUGGCGGCGUGCUUAACACAUGCAAGUCGAACGAAGCACUGAAAGAUGGAGAUUCGUCAAAGUCUUCUUUGACUGAGUGGCGAACGGGUGAGUAAUGCGUGAGCAACCUGCCCUUCAGAGGGGGACAACAGUUGGAAACGACUGCUAAUACCGCAUGAUGUGCUUGGGGGACAUCCCCCGAACACCAAAGGAGAAAUCCGCUGAGGGAUGGGCUCACGUCUGAUUAGCUAGUUGGUGAGGUAACGGCCCACCAAGGCGACGAUCAGUAGCCGGACUGAGAGGUUGAACGGCCACAUUGGGACUGAGAUACGGCCCAGACUCCUACGGGAGGCAGCAGUGGGGAAUAUUGGGCAAUGGGCCGAAAGCCUGACCCAGCAACGCCGCGUGAAGGAAGAAGGCCUUCGGGUUGUAAACUUCUUUUAACAGGGACGAAGAAGUGACGGUACCUGUUGAAUAAGCCACGGCUAACUACGUGCCAGCCGCCGC
rnacentral:rRNA from 1 species